rnacentral:rRNA from 1 species
UACGUAGGGUGCAAGCGUUGUCCGGAAUUAUUGGGCGUAAAGAGCUCGUAGGCGGUCUGUUGCGUCGGCUGUGAAAACCCGGGGCUCAACUGUGGGCUUGCAGCUGAUACGGGCAGGCUUGAGUUCGGUAGGGGAGACUGGAAUUCCUGGUGUAGCGGUGAAAUGCGCAGAUAUCAGGAGGAACACCGGUGGCGAAGGCGGGUCUCUGGGCCGAUACUGACGCUGAGGAGCGAAAGCGUGGGGAGCGAACAGG